rnacentral:rRNA from 1 species
UACGGAGGAUCCGAGCGUUAUCCGGAUUUAUUGGGUUUAAAGGGAGCGUAGGUGGAUUGUUAAGUCAGUUGUGAAAGUUUGCGGCUCAACCGUAAAAUUGCAGUUGAAACUGGCAGUCUUGAGUACAGUAGAGGUGGGCGGAAUUCGUGGUGUAGGGGUAAAAUCCGUAGAGAUCAAGAGGAAUACUCAUUGCGAAGGCGACCUGCUAGAACAUAACUGACGCUGAUGCGCGAAAGCGUGGGGAGCAAACAGG